UGAAUGAGUAAAAAAAACGUUUUACAUAAAUGUCAAAGGCAUGCCUUAACAUUAAACACCCAUUGCAUUUUGAAGUUAUUGAUUACAUGUUCUCACAAGCUAAUAUCUUUUUAA